rnacentral:rRNA from 1 species
CUACUGGGGUAUCUAAUCCUGUUCGCUCCCCACGCUUUCGCGUCUCAGCGUCAGUACCGUCCCAGAGAACCGCCUUCGCCACGGGUGUUCUUCCCGAUAUCUGCGCAUUUCACCGCUACACCGGGAAUUCCAUUCUCCUCUUCCGGACUCUAGCCAGGUGGUUUCAACCGACAUCUCGAGGUUGAGCCUCGAGUUUUCACAGCUGACCUACCAAGCCGCCUACACGCUCUUUACGCCCAAUAAAUCCGGACAACGCUUGCCCCCUACGUAUUACCGCGGCUGCUGGCAC